UACGAGGUGUACAAAUUUGUAGGUCUGCAUUAAGAACAGAUAUGGCACUUCUGUAAACUGCAUCCGUUAGAGCAUCCAAAGCGGACAAAUUUGAUACAUCAAUUUACAUCUUACGUGAAUUAGUUACAUUGUUUACAAGUGUUUUGCAAAAGUCCAACUAACAUAUUAGUGCUCUAUUUAAGAGCCAUGUAUAAUACACUAAUUUUGUCCGCUUUAGAUGCGCCAGCAUAUGCAAUUUACAGAAUUGUGAUAUCCUUUUUCAUUGCUGAGUUACAGAGUUGUAAACUUGACAGUGUGGCUUUCUGAAAAUUAGCCGAUUUUCUACAAUUUUUAUAAAAAAACUUGACGGCCUAAAUUAAGCAUUCGCUACCAACAGUGACUAUAUUUUAAGUUCUUCUUUUAAAUGCCACAAACCCCAUCAAAUUUGGAGCAGUGGUUGCCGAGAAAAACGAUUUCUCCUAGCUUUCCCAUGUAUUCAGAUAGGAGCCCCCGUGCUAAAGCUACCAAUGCUCGUAAAUCGGAGGGGCCAAAGAAACUGAAACAAAAUAUUGUUUGUGGUGAGUACUUUCUAAAUAUCAUAUGCUUUAAAUUGUUAUAUAUGAGAAACUAAACAGAUAUAUGUUCGAACUUUGUUGAGUUUUGCAAAGUCCACAUUCAAACUCUUCCAGAUGGCGCCACAACGGCUCGCCAAACGCGCGCGGUGCGAAUACGAAAGUUCGUCAACUGUGAGAUACGAGCGCGGGAAACUGCUGCCUGUGGGCAAGCUGGUGCCGGCUUGACAGCUCAACGUUUUCCGUUUGUGCUUACGAGGCGGCGUUACUUGAGAGAAGAUAAUAAUACUUUGAUGCUCUUCUCACGCCUACAAAUGAGGGCGACGUGAUAAACAGCACAGCACGCGAAAGGGUACGUGAACGCCAACGAACGGCGUGCCGCCAACAACUGCAUGGGCUGUCACUUCAGUGUAUUCUUCCCGCCUUUGGAAGAAGCAUUUUGGACUAAAGCUACCUUGAUAUGUACAAAACAUGGGAGACUACGUGCAGGAUUAUGAAUGGCUACCUGAAUGCUGCUUGAAGCAGCCAGCUCUACAGCACCACUCGUGCCCCUUUCCAUGGGUUGGCAAGAGGAGCAGUGGCACACAACUCUACAGGCACUUGUGCUUUUUAUCAUCUUUGGAGGAGAUGUAUUGGCAGCUGCAGGUGGUCCCUUCUCAUACGCCAUGCCAAGGAGUCCUGCAAUCCGAGUCAUGCAUCACUGCCGGUGACUGGUAAUGGUGACAUUUUUUUCAUAUUCAGUAUCAAGAAUGCUUACUUUUCCUAGCCUUUUGUCACUCAUCCCCUCGUUUUUCAAAUGUUAAAGUGUUGCACGUAGGCUGUUCUGUAUUCACACUACUCGAAUAUUUUUUUUCCACAGCCCCAAAUUUUAUUUUAGUUGGACUUUAUAAGCACUUCAAAGCAGCAAAAGCCAACAGUGCACAGUUUAAAGCAGCUGGAGGUGCUGCUUCAUGUGUACCAAUUGUCACACUCACUGCAGAAGGUUGCUGACAAGUAUGGGAUCCCAGUUGUGCUGUUUGACGUUGUGCUGCUAAGCCCGAGGGCACGGGAUGUAAACCUGGCUGUGGUAGCCGCAUUUCAAUGUGGGUGAAAUGCAAAAACACCCAUGUACCAAUUAAGGAACCCCAGGUGGCAACAUUAAUUUGGAGUCCCUCGUACUGCAUGCCUCAUAAUCAUAUCGUGGUUUUGGCACGUAAAACCCCAGAACUUAGUUUAAUUUAACAGUUGGUGCCCUUCGGUUUUCCAAUUUUCUCAUUUUCUUGCUUACAAAAGCUCUGUUCUCGCUACAAAUGACAAAUUCGUGAUUACGGAAGCCGAACUUUCAAUCUAGCUUACCUCAAUAUUUUUCUUUAGCGUACCUUUAACAUGCAUUUAUAGCAUUGAACCUGAAUUAUUUUGCAUUUAUCCAUGUUGGACUUGUGCUCAACAGCUGGAUGGCAUAGAUGCAGAGCUACUACUGUGGGCUUCAAGUUGCAAGCUUGUCUUUUCAUUUAGAAGUAAGAUCACCUGAACCUGGUUCUCUAUUAUCAGGUAGACUACUAAGGAAGGCAGACAUUACUUGCGUGAUAGAUCUCAGUGAUCAGUUAAAUUUGUGUUCAGUUUUUGGCCCCCAAAAAGUGAACAGAAUUGUAUAUUGUAGUUGCAGGGCUUGAAGCUAGUAAGUCAAAUGCACUUAACCCUUUCCCUGGCAGGUAUGUCACAGCUUGUCACUCGCCACUUCUCCAAGUGCAUUUCGCUAACUGCUAAAUUUCAAAAGCCAACAAGGCUUGUGUGCUUAAAACGUUUCUCAGGUGAUCGAAAGAUAACCACUUGAAAGGAAAUCAAGGCAUGGUGCGACGAUUGCGCCGUGGCACUGUGCAGUGUUUCUUGCUUAGAAGUCUUUGCAACCAUUGAAGCCAAGUUACACGGGCAUUCAUCAAAGUGAUAGUAUUGCUGUUGUAGAGCAAAGAACACAUCUUUUCAGCUAACCUUACAAUUUCGGAGCUGCGCAGCAAUGUCUUUAUUAGCACUGCGAUUAAGCAAACUAUCAGUUUAUUUUUCUUGUAAUAUUUUUUUCAAACCUUCUUCCAAAAUGAAUAUUUUAAGCAGCAUAUUUUAUGCUCUUUAUUUUGGUUUAUGUUUCUUCGAAUGACUAAAACAUUUGGUAUAUACUUGGGUCCUUUUUCCAGAGUGUGUUUGGUAUUACAAGGGUAAACAGAUAGCGAGCCAAGCUGGUGUUGAAAUGAUCAUCAUCAGCCUAUAUUUAUGUCCACUGCCGGACGAAGGCCUCUCCCUGUGAUCUCCAAUUACCCUUGUCUGCGCUAGCUGAUUCCAACUUGCGCUUGCAAGUUUCCUAACUUCAUCACCCCACCUAGUUUUCUGCCGUCCUCGACUGCGCUUCAAUUCUCUUGGUAUCCAUUCUGUAACUCUAAUGGUCCACCGGUUAUCCAUCCUACGCAUUACAUGGCUGGCCCAGCUCCAUUUUUUCCUCUUAAUGUCAACUAGAAUAUCGGCUAUCCCCAUUUGCUCUCUGAUCCACACCGCUCUCUUCCUGUCUCUUAACGUUAGGCCUAACAUUUU